GGGGGGUCACUUGAACCUCCUUUGCCGGAAAGUUACAUUUGUACAUAUAAGGAAAAAUCCAUUUUGUAUCUCUAUAAAUUAUAUUUUGAAUUCCCUUGGCACAACCCAAAACAUAGCACAAUGGUCAAGAAGUUCAAAACCUUUGUGAGAUUGCUACUUCAAUUCACAAGCACCAUAGUCUGUGACUUCCGUCAGUUCUUUUGAUAAUAAUCCUAAGCACACAGUGCUCAAGGCAAAUGCAAACCCUCGUUACACACAAAUGUCUCUAUAUGGAACACUAAAGGGAAAAUUUUGCCUUCUCAUUUUUGUUCUUCUUACUUAGAUCAAACAACGGAAAAAUGAUACUCUUCCUUUUAUGAAGCUUUUGUUAUUUGACUGAAGAAAUUACAGCACAAGUGAAUGAAGUGUUACAAAUACGACCUCCACCUCAACCUCACCAGAAAACAAAACAAUCCCAAAGAAACGAAAAAAAAGGAAGAAAAAGGACAAUGACUCAUGUAUGUGAAACCUCCUUCUUGGCCAGUUACAUGUAAAAUCUAGCACAGAAAUAAUUUACAUAUGUUAUCUGGC
rnacentral:lncRNA from 1 species